AAGUCGUAACAAGGUAACCGUAGGUGAACCUGCGGUUGGAUCAUUAACAAAUUCAACUCUUUGUUAAAGGGGGUACAGUAUGGACUAGAGUGGUAAAACAUUCUAGGCCACUCCAAUCCCCCCUUUUUCAAACACCCCUUUGUGAACUGUUUAUUGUCUCUGGUGUGGUUAAACGUAGACUUUAGAGCGAGUGGCCUUCCAUACCCAUUAUCUCUUCGUUUAUGGGGAAAUUCAUUUUCCUCACCCACUGUUAUAUUUUAACUAUUAAUGCUAGUCAAUAUUCGUCUAAUCAAGUUAUAUUUUUAAUUUAAAAACAACUUUUGACAACGGAUCUCUUGGCUCUC
rnacentral:misc_RNA from 1 species